rnacentral:rRNA from 1 species
AAUUACCCAAUCCUGACACAGGGAGGUAGUGACAAGAAAUAACAAUACAGGGCUUAAAGUCUUGUAAUUGGAAUGAUGGGAAUCUAAACCCUUCCCAGAGUAUCAAUUGGAGGGCAAGUCUGGUGCCAGCAGCCGCGGUAAUUCCAGCUCCGAUAGCGUAUAUUAAAGUUGUUGCAGUUAAGAAGCUCGUAGUUGAAUUUCUGCCUUGUCAUUAAUCUCGCUUCCGAGCGUUUUUUUAUUGACUUGGCAUCUUCUGGAUUUGGUGCCUUCGGGUACUAUUUUCCAGGAUUUACUUUGGGAAAACUAGAGUGUUUCAAACAGGCAUUCGCCUUGAAUACUACAGCAUGGAAUAAUGAAGUAGGACUUUGGUUCUAUUUUGUUGGUUAUUGAGCCAGAGUAAUGGUUAAUAGGAGCAGUUGGGGGCAUUCGUAUUUAA